GAUGAACGCUGGCGGCGUGCUUAACACAUGCAAGUCGAACGAAGCAUAAGAGACAGAAUACUACGGUAGGAAGAUUUUUAUGACUGAGUGGCGGACGGGUGAGUAACGCGUGGGUAACCUGCCUCAUACAGGGGGAUAACAGUUAGAAAUGGCUGCUAAUACCGCAUAAGCGCACAGUACUGCAUGGUACAGUGUGAAAAACCUUGGUGGUAUGAGAUGGACCCGCGUCUGAUUAGCUAGUUGGUGAGGUAAGGGCUCACCAAGGCAACGAUCAGUAGCCGACCUGAGAGGGUGAACGGCCACAUUGGGACUGAGACACGGCCCAA
rnacentral:rRNA from 1 species